GAGUUUGAUCGUGGCUCAGGACGAACGCUGGCGGCGUGCCUAACACAUGCAAGUCGAGCGAGGAAGCCCUUUCGGGGGUGGAAUAGCGGCGGACGGGUGAGUAACACGUGGGUAACCUGCCUCAAAGAGGGGGAUAGCCUCCCGAAAGGGAGAUUAAUACCGCAUAGAAGGUAAAUACCGCAUGGUAAAUACCUUAAAGGAGAAAUCCGCUUUGAGAUGGGCCCGCGUCGCAUUAGCUAGUUGGAGGGAUAAAAGCCCCCCAAGGCGACGAUGCGUAGCCGACCUGAGAGGGUGAACGGCCACAUUGGAACUGAGAUACGGUCCAGACUCCUACGGGAGGCAGCAGUGGGGAAUAUUGCACAAUGGGGGAAACCCUGAUGCAGCAACGCCGCGUGAGUGAAGAAGGUUUUCGGAUCGUAAAGCUCUGUCAUCCGGGACGAUAAUGACGGUACCGGAAGAGGAAGCCGACGGCUAACUACGUGCCAGCAGCCG
rnacentral:rRNA from 1 species